UAUAAAGAGAAACUUAAGCAGCUGAUGAAAAAGGACAUGCACAUCAUGUCUAAAAACCCAUGAAGUUUGUGAAGUUGUCAGGUUUGAGUUAUAGCAUGAAUGCAUUCAUUAACAGUGGCAGUAUAAGGGAAGAUGGAAUUAGCUAGACAACUACUAGGUUAUGGUAAAAAGUGAAUACAUGAAUAGAAAGACCACAUCUGGGAAAGCAGGAUCUACUAGAUUAUUCACGUGUUAGAAAUGGAAGUUUUUCAAUCAACCAAUCCAAACAGAAGCUAACAGAUCUCCUAAAUUCAUUUGAUGUUUAGAUCAAAAGUUCUCAGCAAGCUACUCAACAAGCACAGGGGUUGAAGUAAAUUACAAAGUGCUCUUUUGCAUUAUACAUGUGAGCAACUGCAGGAAAAACAAGAAACAUGUGUAAAUGGUAUCCCCCGUUAUAAGUACAUUCAACAAGCAAUUAGAGCUGCUAGUUGUUCUAGUCAAGUAAUAGCCGCUUUGCCAGUUUCAUCAUAAACUUUUCACCAUCUAAAGAACCAUCAGAUAUGAGCACCACAAAUUUUGUAUCUGAAAAGCAAUUGGUGAAAACCAACAGCAUUCUGUUUGACCAAGUUUUUAUUUAUAGUUAAAAUUUAUUGCAGAAGACCUAACUAAGAGUUUGUCCAUCUCUAUGUAUGUAGUUUAUUUGUAUUUGUAGACAGCUACCCUAAACAAAAGAGCACAUACUGCAUCUCUAGUUCAAAGAAUACAGAGCACAGCAAUUGCAAUCAUCACUUCACCUAUAAAAUGCAUUCUAAAUAAAAUUGGAAUAUAUCAAAGCCUGUGAUAAGUUAUUGUUGAAGUUGAAUACCCGUCCACCCAACACUAUAGGACUUUGAAAUAAUUAAAAAAAUAAAAAAUUCCAACAAUGGCAUUUGACUUGUAUUAAUUAAGCAACUACACAGAUCACUAUGGAAGAUUUUAUUUUUUUUUGCAAAAUUCAGAUGUGGAAGAAAUCUUAAGCACAAUUAUUGAGGAGUCAAUUCCACA